rnacentral:rRNA from 1 species
AGAGUUUGAUCCUGGCUCAGGACGAACGCUGGCGGCGCGCCUAACACAUGCAAGUCGAACGAGAGAGAGGAAGCUUGCUUUCUCAAUCGAGUGGCGAACGGGUGAGUAACGCGUGAGGAACCUGCCUCAAAGAGGGGGACAACAGUUGGAAACGACUGCUAAUACCGCAUAAGCCCACGGCUCGGCAUCGAGCAGAGGGAAAAGGAGCAAUCCGCUUUGAGAUGGCCUCGCGUCCGAUUAGCUAGUUGGUGAGGUAACGGCCCACCAAGGCGACGAUCGGUAGCCGGACUGAGAGGUUGAACGGCCACAUUGGGACUGAGACACGGCCCAGACUCCUACGGGAGGCAGCAGUGGGGAAUAUUGCACAAUGGGGGAAACCCUGAUGCAGCGACGCCGCGUGGAGGAAGAAGGUCUUCGGAUUGUAAACUCCUGUUGUUGAGGAAGAUAAUGACGGUACUCAACAAGGAAGUGACGGCUAACUACGUGCCAGCAGCCGCGGUAAAACGUAGGUCACAAGCGUUGUCCGGAAUUACUGGGUGUAAAGGGAGCGCAGGCGGGAAGACAAGUUGGAAGUGAAAUCCAUGGGCUCAACCCAUGAACUGCUUUCAAAACUGUUUUUCUUGAGUAGUGCAGAGGUAGGCGGAAUUCCCGGUGUAGCGGUGGAAUGCGUAGAUAUCGGGAGGAACACCAGUGGCGAAGGCGGCCUACUGGGCACCAACUGACGCUGAGGCUCGAAAGUGUGGGUAGCAAACAGGAUUAGAUACCCUGGUAGUCCACACCGUAAACGAUGAUUACUAGGUGUUGGAGGAUUGACCCCUUCAGUGCCGCAGUUAACACAAUAAGUAAUCCACCUGGGGAGUACGACCGCAAGGUUGAAACUCAAAGGAAUUGACGGGGGCCCGCACAAGCAGUGGAGUAUGUGGUUUAAUUCGACGCAACGCGAAGAACCUUACCAAGUCUUGACAUCCCUUGACGAUGCUGGAAACAGUAUUUCUCUUCGGAGCAAGGAGACAGGUGGUGCAUGGUUGUCGUCAGCU